UCUCUCUCUCUCUCUGUGGUGCGGACGCAGGCAUAUUUCAUUGAAAAGCACAAAGCAACACAGUGCCAGAAUUAGUAGCCUCGAUCUAAUGAGUUGUUGCAGACAACAAUGGAUUUCUCGGAGGUUGAGUAGAGAUCGAGAUCGAGUUCUUUAUCAUUGGGCGAGUGGAUCUGCGUGGCAUUUAUACUGUUUGUAGCGAUCAUAGAGGUGUUGAUUUUUGCUGUGACCGGUUGCUUCAGCGGCCGUCCCUGCCCAACCAAACGCCGUUUCGUUUUCGGAGAUAUGUUGUCAUUGCCGAUGAAACUAGAUUUACUAUUAAUGAGCUGGAGGUAUUGUAUGAGCUGUUUAAAAAGUUGUGUAGUUCAAUCAUCAAUGACAGAUGAAUUCAUAAGGAAGAGUUUCAACUAGCACUAUUCAGAAUUCCCUAUGGUGAAAAUCUUUUCAUGGACAGGGUAUAUGCUUCAUACCAACAUCUUGAACUAAUUGACUAGGAUAUAUAUAAUUCCCUGCACCUACUUACACGAACUGGAUUUUGCUUUUCUAGGUUUUUGAUCUCUUUGAUGAAAAGAAAAUGGUGUCUUUGAAUUUGAUGACUUUGUUCAUUCACUCAAUGUCUA